AAUAAAAAAGAGGAAGGAUAGAGCGGGACCUUUCUGGUCUGCAAUCUGGUGGGGGGCAGAUGUGAACUCCGCUCGCACGAGCCUUCCUGGCGCCUACAUGGACAGACGCUACUGAUGUGGCAUACGUGAUUGGUGCCCAUCUGGCGACAACUAAUUCCCAGCAGAUCAGAACUCGAACAUUACCAGACCAAUCAACAUAAAACACGUGCAGAAACAAACAAACAAACGAAUCAGUAGUUCAGGACCGUCCGUUGUAUUUGGAUAGAUCACUGACGAGACAAAUCAUCUCUUCCAGAGCAUCAGAUUGGAAUCCUAUGUAACAGUGACCGGUCCGGCAGUUAAGAGUUGAUAAUGACAUUGGAGUUUUUAUUUACACGUGUCACCACCAAGUACAAAGUGGCACAUCGAGCACGUACAAAAUCAGAGAACAAAUGUACGGUAAUCGGAGCCCCACCAACACAGAGUCGCCAGCCACCGGCCCAUCGCAUUGGCAAUUUGGCAUCUUCUUUCCUUCCUUCCUGUUCCUGAACUCGGCUCGGUUGAUUGCGGUUACACGGCAAACAUUUUGACGAGUCUUUUCACUUUUCAAUUUCGGGACUCAGAGCUGGAUUUUCCGCCAUACGAGAGAUCUCUCCCAUGCAUUCAUUCGAGCCUGUGGCUGACUGGCUCUGGCUCUCUGCAACCAAAACGAUACGCGUGAAUGCACUUGUCACGGAAUCUCUCCCGCUCUUUCUUCUAAUCCCUUCGAAAUAUUAAACUGGAUGUUGUGCAUUGCGACUACGCAUUAAUAAGGUGGACAACACUUCUUCGGCCACCGAACGCAUCGGUUUUGUGCAAAGAUCAGGUUCUCCUUGAGGAUUCAUGUAUAAUGAAAUGGCAAAACAGGAUUCAUGUAGCUGAGAUCAGAUGAUGAUGAUGAUGAUGAUGAUGAUGAUGGGUUGUCCUUGAAGACUCCAGUACAAGGUUUUAUAGCUACAAGGAUUAAGUACAUCCUGGAUAGACCUCAAGGUGUGAUGUGUGCCAAUUUCUGAUCCAGUUGGAUGACUAAGCACCCAUUAUGUAAACUUUUCCAAUUGUUGGAUCAAGCAAUAUAUUUGUGGUGAGCAUUGACAACAGUGGGAUAUAUUGGAUAGUCGUGUUAACUCAAUCACAAUGACUCGUGGCAUUAAAUGGUCCCACUAGAGAGCCAACCAAAAGACUUUCAUAGGAGAGGAAAGGCCUUACUUGCAGAGGAUCCAAGUUUAGCUAACAUGCAAACAGAAGAGCCUGGUUGAAGCAGUAUGCCAGUAACUUCUAGUUGCUUGCUUCUAAGAAAUCCAGCCCUUUGUUACUAUCAGUGUAUGUAAUCUUUCUUCUGUGGUUAGAGAAAAAAGCAAUGUAAUCAUUCUUACACAUUUCAUGUGUUUUUAAUACGAAAAUGUUAUUGUGCAACUCCAAAAUGUAAUAAUGAGGGAAUUGAUUAAUUUUCCCAACUAAUUUUGGAACGUUUUUCCUUCUUUGAUGGAGAAUCAUUCAGUGCCUUUCGGACUAAUCUGCUAGACAAAACCUGUUAUACACAAUGCAUCAACCAAUCAGAUCUACACACCUGUCUUACAAGCCCGGAUCUGCCAAUACAUCUUCCAACAAGAUUUAUAAUAACAUGUUUUGUACUUGUAUGUUGUCAUUGAUGAAGUUGUACUUUGAAAGGGCAAUCAUGCAUUGCAUUAGAUAUGCUGUUAUAUAUCAUGUUGAAAGCUGUGGUGGUAGCGUCUUAUUGCUAGCAGAUUCGGGCUCUUUUUAAACUCGUCCCAUCUUAAGGUUUAAUUUAGAUUUUUUGUUUUCUUAUUAACUAAUGGAAUAGGGUCAAUAGGAUGCUAGAGGACAGAGCAGUCCAUUGGAUCUGUCCCUUUGUAGUUAUAGUUUCUUUCAAAUUAAGGGAGCGUUUUAUA